rnacentral:lncRNA from 1 species
UUAUCUACCUGCAAAAAACCCAAAAGGAACUUUUAAUUAAUUAGUUCCCGAAGUUACAAUGAGUAUAGUACUCAGCAUCUCUCCAUUGGACAGGCACAUAAAUAUUUGGACAGGUAUACACAUAUAUAUAUAUAUAUGGUCAAAUGCAUCUAAAGGUCCUUUAAGUUUUUCGUUUUUUUCAAAGUGGUUCUUUAUGUUUCAAAAGUCCCAAACAAGUCCUUUUAGUUUUUGAAUCAUUUCAAACAAGUCAUAUUCUAGAUAGCAUAGUUGAUAAUUGCUUAUUUGAACUCAUCUUUGGUACAAAAUCUGGUUCAUAGCACCCACUUAAAAUUAGUCAUCUUUUUAGGCAUGGCAAAUGGUGGAUAAUGUUCUUUGUUGCUAUCAUCUGAAUCAUCACCACCAUUCUCUAAAAGGACUUGUUUGAAACGAUUCAAAAACUAAAAGGACUUGUUUGAGACUUUUGAAACUUAAAGGGCUUGUUUGGGACUUUUGAAACUUAAAUGACCACUUUGGGAAAAACGAAAAACUUAAAGGACUUUUAGAUGCAUUUGACCAAAAAUAAACUAAUUUUUGAAAAAUUAACACACCUGGAAAUGCAAAUUAUAGAAGACUCUCCCUCCAAAGGUCUGAGAUGAAGAAAGAUUAAGCAGCAAAAGGCCAUCAUUUUCCAAACACAUCAAGAUCUCAGAAAGUGGAAUCUUGUGGACAGUGUAACAUGAAAUCUGAAUGGUAAUUUCACUAUCAUUGAGCCAACUUGUUGAAACUACAAAACCAGAGUUGUAACUAUGCUUCUUCCUUUGAGAUUCUUUGCUUAGAAUAAACUCUUCUACUUGUGGAGAAAGUCCCAAUAAGAUCUCAUCCUUUCUCUUAAUUAGUCCCUCUACUUGAUUCUGUAAUUCAGGUAUGUAUUUCAGGACUCUAGAAAUUGUUCCCGGAAUGCUUAAUUUCUUCUACAACAUAUAGGUAUACAUCAACAAAUAUAUUAAUACAAGUUGCGAUUGCAAAGUUAGGUUUUAAUUGAAAAAAAAAAAUCAAAAAAUGAACAAAAGCAAAGUAGACAAACAAAAUACGACAGAAAGGAAUUAAUUAAGUACCAUUUGAUCAGAAACAGGAAGGAGUGAUCGAAGUGAUGAAUACAAAUUAUUGAUCUUCUUGCGGCGAUCGCGUUCACUGGCAUUAUGAACAAGCUUCUUGACCAUGCUAAGGUCACUGCUUGUGGAUUGUGAGGGAUCUGUUGAAUUAAUUUCUGCCUCAACUUGAUCAUGAAAAUUAAAUAAUUGAUUCUGAUGCUGGUUAUGACUUAAAGACUCUUCAAAGGGCCAUCCAAUUGUUGAAAACAUAGGAGGAGAUAUCGCUAACAUAAUGUUGAUGUAGCAGUUGAAAACAGUUGAUUAUGAAGUUUUCUAUACAACAUUAAUUAUAUAUAUAACCUAACUAUCAUGGUAUGCACCCUCUACGCAAGCAUUCUACUAUAUUUUAUUGUUAGGAAAUAAAAAAGAUAAAUAUAUUUUUGGUCCCAACAAAUAUAGUAUUUCACUUUUUUCAAUGUUUAUAAAAUUGAUUUCCUAAUUUUACGGACAUUUAAUUUAUCAAUUGUCACAAAAUAACUCAUCAACUGACAUAAAAUCCACACAACAGUUAAAUCAUUUGUGUUAAUCGAAAGACAAAUAAAUUUGAAUAUUUUAAAAAUAAAUUAGUUCAUCAAAAUUGAUAUCGAAUAUAAGAGUUUAAAAAUUAUACUUUAAGAUCACAAGUCAUCAUUACCAUAUCAAAUCAAGUGGGUGUGUAGGAAAAAAUAUUAUUAAAGGACAUAGUCCUUUUCUUCAUGUAGAUAAUCUAAGACAUUAUUAUAACCGGGAUGACUAUGAUAAGCCAUUAAAUUAUUGUGUCACUUAAGAAUUAGUUAAAAUGCGCAUGCAAGAGUGUGUCUGCAAUGUGGCAUCUAUGUUCUUGUGUGUAUCAAAAGGAAGAUGACACGGACAAAAAACGUGACAUGGAUAAAGAAGUGAAUAAAAAACGAAAUUACACGUUCCAUAAUUAUUUAUUAAUUUGUUGAUGGGUUGUUUGUCGAACCCCAGACAGCACCAAAAAAAUAUUGAUAGGUUUAGCUUAAUCGAUGAACUGGAACUCGAAAUCACACAACGCAUUCUACACACCGAAAUUCACAGUUGAUGCUUCAUGUGGUUUUUUCUCCAUUCUCCCUUUUUCGAAUUGUGUUGACGAGUCCUUCUCCUUUUUCUACUCCUUCUGUCCCUUCGGAAUUAAGAGUGUUCUUAAGACCAUAUAGUCUUUUUUCGGUAUAUUGUUCAUUCGGAAUCAAGAAUGGUCUUAAGAGCAUAGUCCCUUCAAUUAUUUAUGUCUCUUUAGAAUAAAUAAUAAUUUAAGAUCAUAGUACCUUUUCGGUAUAAUAAGAAUGAUUUUAAACAUAUAUAUUAUUCUUCUAUUCAUGGAGAAGUUAAAUGUUAGAAUGGUCGUAGCACCAUAUUUGAGUGGUUGAAAUACCAUAUUGAUAUUUGAAGAAGUUAAAAAUUAGAAUGGUGGUAACACCAGAUUUGAGUGGUCUCAAUACCAUAAUAGAGUGGCUACAGUACCAUAUUUGUUUCAGUAUUAAAAGAGUGGUCUUAGUACCAUAUUGAAGGUGUAAUUCUCGAACGGUUUUCUACAGUGCAGUAGUUAACCGCAGCUGGACUUGUUUUAUUCUGGAGGCGGCGUGGUUGAUAGUCUGCCUUGCACAAUUUUAGGCAGUGCCACGAAAUGUCUUAAAAGAGCGACCUGAUCGUGACUCAACCUAGUAACAACUUCGCUAGAAAAUAGAAUUUAGAAAACCAACAUACAACAGUUUGGAAAUCCAAAAACAAUAAAAGUGGUAGAUUAUUUUCGCUCCACUGUGUGCUUAGUUUGUAUUUUAAAGACUCUCAUAUUGAGUUUAAAAAUCAAAAUGUAUCAACCACGUUAUUAUGAAUGAAUAGCCAUAAGCAGUAUCGAAAAUAAGCGGUCUUUUGUCAAGAAAAAAAUAUAAAUACAUAAAUCACAUAACUUGACUUAGAAACUGUAUGCAUUCGAAAAAUUGAGAAAUCGAUUUAUCUGUCUGGAAAAUAUUGAUUAAUUGGAAAAAGUAUAAGAAUGGGUAAUUAUACGAACGGUAAAAAUAUCAAUAAUUGAAAUUAGACAAUCUCUAUGAGUUUAGGUCUGGGGUUCGAACCCCAGACACCACCAAAAAAAUAUUGAUAAGUUUAGCUUAAUCGAUGAACUAGAACUCGAAUUUCUAAAGCUAUAUAGUUGACUUAAUGAUGCUUUUCUUGAAGAUAUUUUAUCUAAAAAAAUAAAAAUUUCAUCAUUUAUUAAAUCCGUCAAAACUCGAUCCAACAAACUCUGAUGUUAAGUCGGUUUUUUUUUUUUUUUAAGGAGAUGUCAAGGCUUGACAUCUACCUUCAACAAGAUGUCCAAGCCUUUGUUGAAGGCAUGUUUUUAUGACAAAGAACCAAGACCCAUAUUUAACACCUACAAAUAGUUAUGAAAAAAAAGAAGAAGAAGAGAAUACUAUAUAAUUGCUUGAGACAUACACAGUACACUUGGCACACACAUGUAAGGAGAGUUGACAAUAUUGCUAAGGAGAAUAGAAAAUGCAAUAUACCUCAAACAUACUACACGAGCCAAUGCAUGGCAUACACGAGAAUAUACGAAACAUGAUGCAUGACUUAUAGUAGCAUAUGUUGAAUGUGACAGUAUGAUGAUCAUAAUAAAAAUUAUAUUUAAAUUUGUGGUUAAGAAAAUACUAUUUUUUCCUUGAAAUAUAUAUAUAUAUAUAUAUAUAUAUAUAUAUAUAUAUAUAUAUAUAUAUAUAUAUAUAUAUAUAUAUAUUUGAAGUUCAAUAAAUAGUAUAGUAAAUGAGAGAGGAUUUGAGCAUUCAACGAAUGAUGACUUGUGUUGAUCAAAUACAAUUUAGGAAUAUAUAUGUACAAAGUCAUUGUCAAUAGUCAAUACAUGGUUAGUUGUAACAGAAAAAUCAAAUUAAUAGACUAUAACUAACUAACUCUAACUAACCAAUCAUUACAAAAGUUUAUUAAUGUUGACAUACUUUUCACCCCCUCUCUAAGGAAAGAGUUGGUGUUUUUGGCUUCCAACUUGGAAAUAAACUAAUGAUUUAAGUUUGUUUGCGAGUUUGAAGGAAAGGGAGGGGAGGGGUUUGGAAAAAAAAAAACGAGUAAGUAGAAGAAUAGAUGACAUUGUCUUUUAACCCCCUCUCUAGGAAAAGAGUUGGUGUUUUUGGUUCUAACUUGAAAAUAAACUAGUGAUUCAAGUUUGUUUGCGAGUUUGGAGGGAAGGGAGGGGAGAGAUUUCAAAAGAAAAAAAAAAAACGAGUAAGCAAAAGAAUAUAUGACAUUGUGAGGGGAAGACUUUGGGGGAUAAUUUUUCUUUAUAAUUCAAAAUCCUUCUCCUUUGAGGAAACUUCAAAAUUGUAUUGUAGUAGUGAUUUUGGCUGUUUUGGAGGGUUUACAUGAAUUCUUCAAAUCUAUAGUAUGUAGUUAUAAUAUUCUUAAAAUUAAAAAUAUAUUAAGGGUCUUGCUAUCCAGUGUCCUAAGGACAAUGGUUAAGGAAUCUAUAAGUAAAACUUUUGUCUUGGAAAUAUAAACUAUUGCAAUUGACCAAGUAAUAAUUACACUGUUUUUUAUUAAAAACUUGUUAUUGUUGAAUUAUGGUGUGAUGCUAAAAACUUUGAUCUAAGAAUUAACAUCCAUCCACACAAGUUAAUGUUACCUAAGUUGGACGCUAACAUUAAAUUAUAUUUGAUCCAAGACGGUGACACUAAAUCAGGGUCAAUUAAUUGUUAAAAUUGGUAUUUUUAUUUAUUUUUGUAUUAUUUACCAGUAAAAUUUAGUAAUAAUCAAAUAUAUGUUCAAGAAGAACAAUGAGAGGUAAGAGAUAAACAACAAAACAACUGACAAUGUAUAUAGGCAAAUUACCCAAAAGAAAACUCAUAAAAAUACCAAUAUAGACUCUACCCAACGGAGGGCCACAUCACCAACACCAAUACAAAUUCCACCUAACUGCGAGCCACCAUCAACACCAAUAAAAAAAAUAACCACCGAAAUCAAAGUCAACACCUAAAUCAAAACCAAACCCCUAAAUAAUCGUCGAAACCAAACUUCAGCGAAAAUCACAAAGGAUAUUGUGAAUGGCCACAUGCACAAAUUCCAAACCGUUGUCAUCCGGUACUCACAAAAAUUUCUAUAAAAAAACCAUCAAACCAAUCAAAACCCUGCGAGCAGAUACCCAUCUUCUCAUCACUAUAGCUAAGUCCAAUUAAACACCCGAAAAUGUCUUAUUCCACCACUCAUUUAGAUUCCACUACCAAAAAUUUGAGUCUAGAAAACAGACUCUGAUCUCGAAUCAAAAGUGAUCGGUCCACCAUACGCGAAAUCACUAAAACACUCCUUAGUUUCUGGUCCAUCAGAGAAGACACCAUAAUCAACCGAAAAAACAUGAAACUAGACACUAAUUCUCGAUCUCGAAGUAAAAGCGAUCAACUCAACAAAAUCCAAGAAAACAAAUUCCUAAAGGAAGUCAACAAUUAGAGCAGUAGCGUAAACAGAACAAACUCAAAAAGAAGAGUGUUGUGAAUCUUACAACUAGUCAUAGGCUAUUAUAGGAAUCUCCAUGUGGGUAGAUGUGGGAUCAUUGUAUAUAUUGUGAAUCAUUUCAUGUAAACUUUCUACUUAUAAUAGUUGCAUCUAAUGAAGUUUGGCUGUUGCACAUACCACUUUAGUGAAAUCAUUUGGUUGAGAAAAUUAUUAAAAUGAUCACAGGUCGAUUAUUCACCCACACUUCUAUAUCGUGAAAAUCAAAAUGCUCUUCAUCUCCAAGCAAAUCUCAUUUUUCAUGAAGAACCAAACACAAUGAUAUGGAUUGUUAAAUACGCUAACACUCGCAAUUAAACAACCACGAGCUAAGAUUUUCACAAAACUCAGUUAAGUACUAAGCCCUUCAUGCACAUAAUAUUCAAGUUAUGUAAUCACAAUCGCCAUACUCCAACUUGAGAGGGACUAAUAGUGACACUACUUGAAAAAGCAAAAUUAGGGAUGGAAAUUAGUGACGAAAAAAUAAAAUCCCUCCUAAAUUUUUUGGUCGCAAAAUUUAGUGACAAUUAGAGAUUGAUGUCACGUUUUCCCUCUUUAAAUUUCCCUCACUAAUUUUUGCUUUUUUAAUAAUGCGAAUUGGCCAUAAAAGGAUUUCUUAUGCAAAAAAAUUCAGUUUUCAUUUAAAUUUCACUUAGAUAUUAAGAUGGACAUAAGUUUGAUAUAAUAAUAGAUAGUUAUCACUCAUCUUUUAGUUUUCUUAUCUCUUUGCAAAUUGUGGACAUAUGGUUAAUUACUCAUCUUUUAGUGUAUAUGAGAAGGACAAUUUAUCUUUGGCAAUUGAACUCAGGCGGCUUCUAGCGUGGGAGACUAAAUCAGGUCUCUCACCGUGAGUGACCGUGUUUAAACCGUUGGAUGUACCUCAAAAUCAACAUGCGGUCCAGAUUGCUUACCAAGGACCUGUUGCUACAGUACCUAGUAGGUGAAUUGCAAAUUGUACUUUUGCAUGUGAUUUUACCCAUAACUAAAAUUUGAGAAUUACACAACUUGCCCUAAUGGAUAGAAUAUUUAUAAAUACCUCCGGUCUUAAAUAUUUAAAGUAAACGUGAUAUAACUCUUUUUAUUAUUAUUUAUAACCUUUAUUUUACAGAUAAAUUUAUUUAACAACUUAAAAAAAAAUCAGACUUAACAAAAUAUAACGUGAGACAUGAUCAAUGGUCAUGGUAAUCUUUUCACACACAAUUUCUUGACCACUCUUUUCUUUCUUCUUUAUCUUCUCUCCUUUUUCUGGUUUCCUUCCCAUUACCAUCCAUCCUUACUAUCAACAUGUCCAGCAUCAUAAGUUCUUUACACCCAACACCAGUGUUCAUGGCACCAUUAAAAAAUAUUUUGCUGAUAUCUAGUAUUCAUUGAAGAACAACAACAACUUAAAAAAUAUUUUUCUGAUAUCUAGUAUUCAUUGAACAACAACAAAAACGGCAAUAAAUCAAUUUUUUAUUUCCAGAACCAUUUUUAAAUCAAGAGGGUUUUUAUCCAUAACUGAAGUUGAGUUUUGUUGAAACUAAUCAAAAUUAUUUCAAUUUUGAGUGUUUAAAGAUGCAAAAAAUUGCUUGAAAUCACAAAGAAAUGGUAUUUGGUUCGUGAGUCUAGGUUAAAAUUGAGUUUUUGGUGUUAAAAUGGCUUAAAGUUAUGGUUUUCUCUUCCGGGUCAUAAAACGGGUCGUUUCGACCCGUCUGGAGGUUGAAGAUGCAGGUAAAAAAAAUUAAUAAAAAGACAUCGAUGCAACAAAAGUAUCGAACAGACAACCUUGAUCAUCAAAGUAUCCAAUUUACACCAACUGUGCCAAGCAUUUUUAUUAAUACCAAUUGAUUUCAAAUCAAUUCAUAUUUAAUCCGUAAACGUAAUGUAAAUUGAGACCCUGCAUUUAUGGUCCCUGCAUAUUUAGCAAACUCAUGUGUAUCAUUCAAAAUUUAAAAUUAUUUUUUGAACUCUUAUUUAAUACAUUAUAAAAUUAUCUCCUGCAAUAGUUUAAUUUUUUUAAAAAAGGGAUGAAUUUUAUAUGAAUUUUAAAUUUUGAGCGCUUGAAAAUUCACAUUUAUUUCAUAUCUUGUAAAAAUAAUCUAAUUUUAAGCGCUUUGUAAAUUUUUUUCUUUUUGGCAUAAGUCAAUCUGACAAACUUUCACUUUAGAAACCUAGUUAAAAAUGACAUUCCUCCUCCGACCAAGACGGACUUAAUUAACUAACGGUUAGUUUGAUAUGAUCUAAAUGAAUUAAGAACGAAGUAAGAAUUAAAAUUUCGGCAAUCUAAAUAUUUCAUAUAAGUUAAUCCGACAAACUAUUCCUUCAGAAAAGUAGUCAACUUGGUCGAAAUCUUUUAUAUAAAUUUUUAAUAUCACACACACCCUUAGGUCACUAUUAUAAGCAAAAAUUUACAUUUUAAAUUCAUUUAAUUUAAUAAAUAAUGUAUACGGUCUUUAUUAAAUACCACAUACAACAAUUAUUAAAUGAACAUAAAAUAUGAAUUAUUGUUUAUAAUAGUUACCGGAUGGUAUAUAUAACUGCGAGCAUUUGAUGUAAUAUAUUGCAUUAAUCAUAGGACUCUUUUAUUGCUUAAUUAAUAUAUUGAAUUAAUCAUAUCAAUUUUUUAUUGCUUAACCUUUUACAGUUAAUAAUAAUCAAAUUAUGUAAGUAUACAAUAGAAUUAGUGGUACAGUUGGUUUGAUUAGUGUCUGUUGAUGAAAAAAAUUGUCGUCGGUUCGAUACCCAUCACCUGCAUUGUAUGAGUUUUUUUUUUUUAUUUGUUUUUACUACUGCAUCUUCAACCUCUAGAAGGGUCAAAACAACCCAGUCGAAAAUCCUCGCGACCCGGAAUAGAAAAGCUAUAACUUUAUGCCAUUUUAGAAAACUCAAUUUUAAUCUAGAAUCAUGAAGCAAAUAACAAUUCCUUGUGAUUUCAAGCAAUUUUCUGCAUCUUUAAACACUCAAAACUGAAAUAUUUUUGUUUUCCAACAAAAUAUCCAACCUCAGUCAUGGGAAAUAAAGCUCUUUUAAUUUAUAAAUGGUUAUUUAAAUAAAAAAAAUUGACUUGUUGCGGUGGUUGUUGUUGUUUAAUGAAUAUUGAUGAUACCGAUGAUGGUGGUGGUAGUAACUUGUGGGAUGGUGAUGCUGGUCAUGUAGUAACAAGGAUGAAUAUCAGAAAAAAUAGUUUUUACCAGUGCCAUGAGCACUAUUGUUGUGAUGAUGGUGCUCGAAAGAGAUGCAGGGAAAUCAGAACAAGGAGAGAAUAAAGAAGAAGGAAAAUAAUAAUUAAAGGUAGUAACUUAUUUGGUUUUUUAAAUAAUAAAAAAAAAGGGGGGACAUGCCAAUUUCGUAAAUAAAAAAACUCGAGUGAAAUAUUUAUAAUUAACUUAGAUGGGUCAAAAGUAUAAAUAGCAAAAAUAAUAUAAAACUAUUAAAACUAGUGGUGACCUGCAAUUGCAGGUUUUUUCUCCCCUCCCACCGUGAGAGACCUGAUUUGGUCUCCCACGCUAGCCUGAGCCUUGAACUCAUGAUAAGAUUUAUAUACACCACAAUUUGAUUUCAAUUAAUGUACAUUAGUUAUGACAUACACUGAAGGGAAUGCAGUGUCAAUUUGGCCAACUACGCAUAUAACAAUGCACACAAAAAUUUUCAUACAUCAUAAAAUUGAAAUAUGUUAAUUAUAUUGAAACAACCAUUCCACGCAUAUCCAUUUAAUUUCCUACACCGUAUCUCAUAUAUUCCUACUUUCUCUUUGUAAAUAAAAUAAAAGAGAGAUGUCUAAUUAAUACAUUUAGGUUUCCACAUACCAUAGAGUCAUAUAUAACUCCUAAGAACUGUCACUACCGUCCUAUGAAAAAUGCUAUAUAAUGUGAUGAUGCCAUAUCAAAGUAAUGCAACAUUUUUAUUGUUUUAAAAACUCUCCUUCCUUCUCCAUUAUUGAUAAGAGCUUCUCAUUUAGAAUAUGAGAUUCUAAUAUCUGUGUUUUAUCCACCUGCAGAAAACCCAAAAAGAGCUUUUAAUUAAAUAAAAUUAAUUGUUGCACCCCUUUUAUGAGUCUAUACAUCGUGAGAAAAAAUUAGCUUUUAAAUUAUUUUUUUAUUUCUUCUCAAGUUAUUAAUUAUUUGUAUAAUAAAAUAUAGUUUUCAUAAUUUCUUAUAUUUUGAGUUCUUAACAUAAUAUUCUGAAAAUAAUUUAAUGAUCAGCAAAGUUUUAAAUAUGCAUCUAAGUGUAUUUCUAAAUUUAACAUUUUUUGAAAAUAAUUUUAUAAUGAAUAUAAUAAACUAACAUCAUAAUUAUAUAUGAUGCUUCAAAAAACCAAAUCAUGAUUAUAUAUGAGCAAAAUAGUCUUUUUUUUUUUUUUUUUUUUGAGGGAGAUGAGCAAAAUAGUUAUUAAGCUUAUUUUAUAAUUUAAAAAAAUAAUAGAAAAAUGUCGAAAUAAAUAAUCAAGCCUAGUGAAAUUAACACACCUGGAAAUGCAAAUUAUAGAAGACCCUCCCUCCAAAGGUCUUUGAUGAAGAAACAUUAAGCAGCAAAAGGCCAUCAUUUUCCAAACAAAUCAAGAUCUCAGAAAGUGGAAUCUUUUGGACAGUGUAACAUGAAAUCUGAAUGGUAAUUUCACUAUCAUUGAGCCUACUAAUUGAAACUACAAAACCAGAGUUGUAACUAUGCUUCUUCCUUUGAGAUUCUUUGCUUAGAAUAAACUCUUCUACUUGUGGAGAAAGUCUCAAUAAGAUCUCAUCCUUUCUCUUAAUUAGUCCCUCUACUUGAUUCUGUAAUUCAGGUAUGUAUUUUAGGACUCUUGAAAUUGUUGCUGGAAUGCUCAAUUUCUUCUGAAACAUUUAUGUAUAAAUUAAUACUAACACAGUAUAUUGUGAUAUCCAAAAAGUUCAUCACAACUAGGCAAUUAAAAAGUAAAAAAUUAACAAAAGCUUAGAGAAGGGACUGAUUACUUACCAUUUGAUCAAAAACAGGAAGAAGUGAACGAAGUGAGGAAUACAAAUUAUUGAUCUUCUUGCGGCGAUCGCGUUCGCUAGCAUUAUGAACAAGCUUCUUGACCAUGCUAAGGUCACUGCUUGUGGAUUGUGAGGGAUCUGUUGAAUUAAUUUCUGCCUCAACUUGAUCAUGAAAAUUAAAUAAUUGAUCAACAGUGUCUUUGUAGAAUGAAUUCUGAUGCUGGUUAUGGCUUAAAGGCUCCUCAAAGGGCCAUCCAAUUGUUGAAAACAUAGGAGGAGAUAUCGCUAACAUAAUGUUGAUGGAGUUGUUGAAAAUAAUUGAUUAUCAAGUUAAGUUUUCUGUACAAAAAUAAGUGUGUAUGUGUGUCUAUAUAUAUAUGACCAUCAAUACAUUGCAUCCUCUAUGUAAGCAUCCUAUAUUUUAAUGUUUGAAAAAUUAAAAGUUUAACAUAUUUGUGUCCCUACCAAAUAGUCUUCAAUUAUUUUCAAUGUAUAACCAUCAUCUCUAUGUAAUCAUCUUGUAUUUUAAUGUUUGAAAUAUUAAAAUUACAAUAUAUCUGUAACCAGAUAAAAUAGUCUUUAAUUUCUCCUCGAGAACUUAACUUAGUUGAAAAAACUUAAUUUUAGGGCAUUAAAUUAUAUAUACAGGGUCAAAAUUCGAACCCUACACACACCACUUAUUUUUUCCAUUAGUUAUAAAAUUGCUAGUCUUUAAUCUACUCAAGUAUACCCAUAUCUCUAGUGAUCUGAGUUCCCGCCAUCUAAUCUACUCUUCUUACUACCAAAAUUGCAUGUCUUCUCUCUGCAUGCCAAAAUCAACUAAGUCUAGUUUCUACCAUCUUUUCUACAAUAAGUCCUACCCCAACCCUCUCUUUAAUGUCGUCAUUUUUAGUUCUAUCCUGUCUAGUCUUUCCACACAUCCAACGCAACAUCAUCAUUUAUGUUACGCUUACUUUAUGUUUGUUCUGGUUCUUUACCGCCCAACACUAUAUCUCAUACAACACUGUAGGUCUUGCUGUUGUUUGAUAAAAUUCUCCAUUCAACUUAACUUGUACUUUCGCAUCACAUAAAACACCUGAGACACUCCUCCAUUUCAUCCAACUUAUUCGCAGGUCUACAUCUCCUUUUAAACUAUGUAAUUUUUGGUAUGAUAUAAUUUUCAGCUUUUACAUCUAAGUUAUGAACGUAAUGAAUCAAAGUUCGAAUCCUUCCACAACAUAUUGUUUGACGACAUCUCGUAUAGGAUUUCUCUAAUAGCGGAAAAUGAUGAGAAAUAAAAUAAAGUCUAAAUUUCAUUUUUGGUCCCUUAAUUAUUUAGGUAGUAUCGCUUUGGUCCCUUAAUUAAAAUUCGAUUUAUUUUGGUCCCUUAACUUCUCUCUAUUACACAUUUUGGUCCUUUCCGUUAGUUUUAAUUCAAAAACGUUAGAUUUUUUUUCAUCUUCUUCUCCUCUUUUUCAUCUUCAUAUCAUCUCCAUCAACCUUCAACAACAAGAAUCCCAAAAAAAUUCCAGAAGAAAAUGAAGAAAACCUAACGCUUUUGAAUUAAAACUAACGAAAAGAACCAAAUGUGUAACGAAAAGAAGUUAAGGGACCAAAAUAAAUCGAAUUUUAAUUAAGGGACCAAAGCGAUAUACUACUUAAAUAGUUAAGGGACCAAAAAUGCAAUUUAGCCUAAAAUAAAUAACAAGGAUCAACUUUGAAAACUUAGAUUAAGUGUGGGGACCAAACAUAAUAAAACAAUUAAUUUAUUAAAGUUUAGAUAAAGUAUUUUAUAAUAAAAAAGUGAUAGUGGAUCUUAAAUAAAAUUCUAAAGGACGUCUUUUUCUUCAUGGAAAGAUUCAGAUACAUUUUUAUAAGUAAAUACCAGGAUGAGUAUGCUAAGUGCGCAUGCAAGUGUAUGUUUGCAAUGUGGCAUCUAUGUUAUUGUAUUUGAUAGGGAGGGUGACAUGGAUAAAGAACUAGGAUGUAAACCGAAAUUACACGUUCAAUAUUUAUUAAUGUUGCAUAUACAUAGUCAAGUGUUGCAAUUUUCCACCCUUAUGAAAUACUUCUUCCGUUUUAAAAUGAAUGUCGUUUAAUAUUUUUACACACAUAUUAAUAAAUGCAUUAAUUAAAAGAAAGAAAUAUGUUAUUUUACCAAAUUAUUCUAAUCAACUAUUAGUUUGUUUUCCAUUAAAGAAAAAAGAAUAUUUUGGAAGUAGUGUAUAUAAUAUUAAUUGAAGGGUGCAACUGAAAAGAAAAAGUUAUUAUUGCAUUCGAAACUGAAAUGACAUUUAUUUUAAAACAAUAUUUUUUUUGCUAAAACGACAAUCAUUUUAAAACGGAGGGAGUAAAGUUUUUGUAGUGCAGUUUGGAUUAGUUUUGACUCAAAAAAGCAUUUGAUGAUUCCGAGUUAUAGCAUGUAUUUUAAUGUUUUGCAGAGUCUUUUUGUCUUUCAUUUUAGGAAUAUAUAGAGGAUUAAAGUGAGUUACGGAUAGUUUGGGAAAUAGCAUUUGAAUUUAGUUAACGUGUGUCUUGCAAUUUCCUAACCAAACAACUCCACAGGGUGUCGUAGUGUUUUGAGUAUAAGUCAGUGGGUUGAUCCAAUCAGAAAACGUCUCAUGGAAUUCGCGAACGCAUGAAGACUAAGCACGAUAUGAGAUAUUGAAGUCCAAACUACUUGGAAUUUUUUUCUCCCAAGCACAUAUCAAAGAUAAAAAUUACAAUGAUAACAAAACAUCAUGUGAUAUUUUAGGCUAUGUUUCUAGUGAUUUUCUUUGCAUUUGAAGGAAAAUAAGAGGUCAUUUAGAGGAUUUAUCAAUGGUUUGAGGAACAUUUUGUAUCGUUUUCAUUUGAGUAAUUGUAAUUUACUUUUAUCCUAAGUCAUACAGCUUCAUAGGUGUUUUGAGUCAUUUUAGUGAGAAAUCGUGUAAAUCAGCAAAACAAGACAUCACAUGAUGGAUCAAAGAUAUGAAAAGUGAAGAUGAAUGAUUCUAUGAAGGUUUUUUUAAGACAAUACAAGUUGGGGAAAAAUCAUCCAAAGUUCCAAGGCAUUUCAAGAAAGAAGACACUAAAAAAAUGAAUGAAAACUACAAAAUUCGCACUUGGGUUAUUGCCUCAUACGCCACUGCGCAUGGGCCAUGGCCCCCUGCGGUGGUAAAGCUACUUCUGACCGAGAAAAGUUGGAGUAACAUUAGAGCAAUAAAUGCGAAUUUGAUUCUCUUCAAAAUCAUUUAUAGUACGAAGGUGAACUUUCAAAAAAGAUUGUUGGUGAGCAUUGAUGUAGAGGAGUCUUGGUUGUUAGAAGCCUCCAUGGUUUUGAAAUAUAAAGAUGGUUAGCUAUUGCUUAGUUAUAUGGAUCUCCUUAUUGGUGGUAACUCUUGUUGUUUUCCUUUCUGUUAUCCUUUGUUGAGAAACAUACAUAAAAAACUUAUCUUGUUUGAAGAGUAAAAAGCUUUCUAUUGGAGGUCAUGUUUUGAUCAAAGUUUUCAUGUCGUAUCUUAUGGUUUUCCAGAGGUAUAAUUUCUUUUCUAUAAUCACUAUUUCAAUAUUUCACGGUGAGAAUGAGGAUAAUCGCAAAAUUAAUUGGAUCAGUUAGGAUAUGAUUUAUUCUGAGAAAGAGGUGGGAGGUUUAGGGAUUUGGAAAAUUGGAGAAUAUAAUUUGGCAUUGGUAGGAAAGUGGUGUUUGAGGUUACAUGUCUAUCAAGGGGGCUAUUGUACAAUGUUUUAGCAGCAAAAUACGGGGAAGAGGACCGACAGACUAAGGCGGGGGGUUCAAAGACGUAUGGUUGGUGGAAAGAUUUAUGUGGUAUAAAAGAUAGGGUAGGCGGGCAUUAGGUGGUUUUUGUUAGACAGAGUUGGGGCACCAUCUAGGUAAUGGUGAAAUAUCUUGUUUUUAGAACGAUCCUUGGCUAAAAUGGACGACUUUUACGCGAUAAAUUUUCAACACUUUUUAUACUAAUAUUUUGAGUAGCAGAGAUGAGGAGGUUAGGCUGGGAGUUGAGGGAAAUGGGUGGAGAUGGAGGUUGAUGCUUUUUUCUUGGGAGGAAUAACUAGUUGCAGAACAUUGCUCUUUGUUGGAUAAUAUUGUUUUUCCGGACUCAUUUGAAGAUACUUAGAGUUGGAAAGUUUGAUCCAACUAAAGGAUAUUAGAUAAAAGUAGUCGACAAACAGUUGACUUUUGUUGACCAACAAGCUUAUCCUACUUCAACAUACAUCAUUUAAACAAAUAUGUGCCUCUAAAUGUGUCUAUUUUUGCAUGAAGAUUGUUGAAUAAAAGAAUUCCAAUUAAGGAUAACUAUGAUCGACAUGAAAUUCUUCAACCUUGUUUGGUGUUAUGCUUAAGUGGAUAUGGGAAGGAAAAGUGGAUUAAUCACUUGUUUUUAGACUGUGAGUUUUUUUGGGUAUGUUUGGUCUUCCAUUCUGCAUUGUCUAAGAAUAUAUAUUAUUCUCAUCCCUUCAGAUAUUGGUAUGCUCGCAUCUCAUUUUGCUAGUACCUAUAUUAUUAUGAAGGAUAUUUGCACUUGUUUUCAAAUAAUUUGGAUAACAAAAAAUCAUCUAUUGCUCAAAUUGUUAAAAAAAUGAAGCUUCAUUCAUGGUGGUGGUUUAAGGCAUACAAGCUUAGUUUACUUUUCGAUUUUCAUGUCUAGUGGUGUAAUCUGUCUCUUUGUAUUGGUUACUCCACUAGGUAAUGCCGCAGGUUAACUUUUUCGUUUUUGCUUUUUUAUGUUAAUCUAUUACUUUUGUACUUGUUGCAAGUACAAUCGUUCUUACCCUGCCUGUUAUUGAUCCCAGAAGGGCGAUAUAUGUGUGUUCUUUUUGUAGAAGUAGUCGUUUGAUCCUUUGUCCAAUGUAUGUCCUUUCCUUUUAUCCUCUCCUUAGUCCUAAAACCGUCCUCAACCUCUAUGCCUUCAAGGGGGAUGUAACAUCCCCCACUUUGUGUAUGAAUUUCUUAGUAUCCCCCCCGUGCCAAGUACAUGACCUCUUGUGUUAAGUCGCCCAUGCCGAGCACUUGAGGAACAUGAUGUUAUCCUUAUCUUAUGUUUUAGGAGGGGUGAUAUGAUACUAUCCUAUCUCUAAGGGUCGACAACUACCCAAGCACGAGGCUAAAUAAGUUUACACAAAAUGAUUGAGAUAAUUUAUACUUUCUUAUGAAGAGAAUACGAUACUGUUUAUUUUCAGAUGGUCCAACUUUGUUCUGAUUUCUUGAUAGACAUAUCUUGUGCUUAGCUUUUUAAUAUAUUCUAUUUGGUUUCUUAAAAAUAAUUAUGUAUUUAGUCUUUUAAAAAAAAAAAAAACAUUCGCAAUACACAUGAGGGAAGACAUGUCAGUGUCAUAUAUGGCAUACACGAGCUCUUACUGUACUGGCAUCUAAUCUCCACGUUCCAAUUAAUUAAGGCUAGUUGAUGGAAGAAUCUGGUAUAUACUAUUGAUAUGCGUGACAUAAUGUACAUGUUAUAAUAGACAAAAAUUAUUAAAAUUUGUGGUUGUUUUUGUGUUGACCCUUCGGUUUUUAAAUAAGGGUGCCAUAUAUUUCAACUUAAUUUGGCAUUUUUGGUUAAAGAGAUAGAUAAUGCUAACGUCCCGUUCACUCUUUAUUUAACCAAGAAAAAUAAAGAACUCAACAUAGCAGUUUAUAACACUCGUUUUGAAGCCACGGUGGGAUGUUUAAGUUUCACUUUGAUGUUUAAUUACAGUCUUACUUCAUAAAAAAAAAUAAGUAUAGUCUGACAAAAAAAUGUGAAAUUUAAAAAUGAAUUCGAAUUCUUUCAAACGAUCUUUCUUUCGAUGAGCUUGUUAAUUAUUUAAACUUAAUUGUUGAUUAUUAAAAUAUUUGGUUUAGGACAAUACGAUUAUUUUCUUUGAAACUGUCACAUUAAAUAUUAUAAUGUAGCAGACAUUGAAAUUUCAACUAAUCAAGACUUGUGCUGACUAGCUAUCGAGAAUUUUAGAAAGUAAAACAAUAUUUAGGAACUUCUGAUUAAUUAAAAUGAAUUGGAUUAGGAUUCUAUGAGAUUUUAAAAGACUUUUUAAUUAUGAAAAUGUCUUGUGGUAUUCAAUCAAGACUUUUUGCAACUUAAAAAAAGUCUUGUGGUAUUCAAUCAAGACUCUUUGUCAUUUUAAAAAAGUCUUGAGGUAUUCAAUCAAGACUUUUCAUCAUUUAAAAAAAGUCUUGUGGUAUUCAAAAUCAUUCAAAUUUCGAAGGAUUGUUUAAUAAAUUGGAUUUUGUAGUGUAAUUUUAACAAGAAAAAGUCUUUCAUGAAAAGAUGAGAUUUCUAGAGAUUGUUUUUGUUUUAAAAGUUACUCUCUCUCUCCCUAUUCUCUCCUUUCUCUCUUCGUUUCUCUAUCUCUCCAUUCUCUCUCUCUCUCUCUCUCUCUCUCUCUCUCUCAUCUCUCAUCCCCCCCUCUCUCCCUCACUCUAUCUCAUAAAAAAAUAAAAAAUUGUAUUGAGAAUAUUAUGAUAGAGAGAAUGUCGUAAUCAAUGUUCCGCAGAUCGAGCGUUAACUCUCCUACCGAGUUUACAUUUUUAGGUACAAAAAUCGUGUUAACUCUGAGGUAAAAUCGGUUUCUGGUAAAAUUGGAAGGUUUAACGAGAUUGACUGAGUUAACACUCGGUAAACUCGUGUAACUCGACUGAUUUGUAAUGGCUGACACAAUAUAUUUUUUUUAAACAUUUGUAAGUACUGACGUAAUUUUAAAUAUGUAGAAUUGAAUUUUGUGGGAAUAACAUUUUUAACAAAUAAAAAAUGUGUAUUGAGAAUAAUGUGUUAAAAAAAUUUUUAGUCCCUUAAAAUCUUAUAAAAUCCAUAAAAUUCUUAAAAUUUGAAAAUCAAUACUAAAAGAAUUUUUUAUUGGUUUUAUUUUUCUUUAUUCAAACGCUGGAAUUUAUUUGUUCAUUAUUUUUAUCAUUCACGCUUGUAGUUUGUUCUUUUUCCCCUAAAAUUCAUUGAAUCCUUUGAAAUUUUAAAAUCACAUAAAAUCCUUAAAAGUCUGUAUGAUAAUUCCUUUAAAAUUUUGAGUGUAUAAAGUCUUUUAAAAUCCUAAUCCAAUACACCCCAAAGUAAUAUGUACAAAGUCAAUACAAGAUUAAUUGUAAUAGAGAUCAAAUUAUUAGACUAACUACGGUUAACUAAUUCUAAAUAAACUAUCAUUACAAUAGUAGAUUGUUGACAUACUCUAAUACCCCUCAAGGUAAAGAGUUAAUGUUUUGCAAAAUCAAAUGUUUUAACAAAACAUGAAUUAUGACAAUAUUUUCCAAAAAUCAAAACAUGAAAUGUAUAGAAUAUUAUGACAAUCUCACAAAAAAAAUCAGAAUUUUUUAACAAAACAUGAAUUAAAUAUGAGUUUUUAUGUUUUUGGUGUUAAAACAUUCAUAUUAAAUUCAUGUUUUGUGAAAAAAUUCUAUUUUUUUUUGAAUAUAUUGUCAUAAUUUUAGUUUAUUAGUUGGCAAAAAAUAUCUAUUGUUCACCAUAAAAAUACAAAGACUAGUACCAAAUAUCAAGUAUUGAUGUGAAAAUGUGUGUAAAAAUAGCAUUUCGGUUACGUUUAGGUUUCCACAUACAGUCAUUUAUAACACCUAACAAUGUUGAUUUGACAACAUUGAAGUCGAGUGUUUUUCGUCUAUCGAAAUGGUCACAAGAGAUCAGCACUUUUAAUGAACGACAAUCCCAAGCAUAUGUUUGAAUACGUAUUCUUGACCUCCCUCAAGAGAAUUGGAGGGUAAGAAUGCUACUGGAAAUAGCUUCAAGCGUGGAAACACCAAUGGAAGGAUUUCUUGUGGAUCUUGAUUUGUCCAAACGCAUCAAUGGCUAUAUAAUGAUAGAAUGUGAUGGCUAUGUGUUUUAUGUUGAAUUGUUGUACGAAAGGAUGCUUCACUAUUGUCCGAAAUUGUGGUAUGAUUGGUCACCCGUUGGGUCGGUGCAAGAAACUAUAGAAGAAUGGUUGUUUUUAAGAUAAUGUUACCUGGAAAAUUGAGUUUCAGAGAGGAAAUGGCAAAGAGCCUUCAGUCAAAGUGAUUAAUAAUGUUACCUGGAUAAUGGUGUGAAUUCGAUGAAAAUCACACCAACAAAAUACUUGAUGUGUAGAGCAAAUAAUAAUCAAGCAAUCAAAACAAAGUGUAUGGAAGUUAUAAACACAAGCCAAAAGUAGAAAACAACGAGAGAAAACAAAAAGAGAACACACGAAAUUUGUUUACCCUGUUUGGUCCAAAACUAACCUAGUUUGGGGGAGAGAGCAGUUCUCCGCUUCACUAUAAUGAUGAGUAACUUUACAAAAGAGAUAUCAAUGGGAUACAAGAAUAAGUGUCCCGCCUAAUUCUACCCAAAGUUCAAAUCUCUACCCGUGACCUAGAGACUCAAUCCUAAUAGUGUUUCUCAGGGUGAAUCAACCCCAACCCUAGUAUUUGUGGCCAAGAGCAAACUCUAUACAAACCGUAGUUUUCUUGUUGACUUCUAAACCUUUGUUUCAGCCCCUUGUAUCUCAAGGUUUACUCUGAUACAAGGUCUAUAUUUAUAGUAAAAGUAUCCUCAUAAAAUUGGAAAAAAUCUCAGCCCAAAAAUAUGAUUCUGUUAUAUUUUCUGCCGGCGAAUUCGGGCCUCGAUUUUACCCAUUCGGCCACCAAUUUUUCACGUACCAACAGGCUGAAAAAACACAGCCAAAUUCGGCCACCGAUGUUGGCAGCAUCAGAACUCCAAUUCCUUCAAUUUUGAGUCACUUUCACAACACUGAGAAUGUUAGGUUGCCUCAACCAUCUCUUACUUCUGAGAUAGUUUUAGAAGAUACACCAAGUAUGUAGGUAGAUAACACAAUCCAGUGAUGAUAACAUUGUCAGAUAAUGUGUUUCCUUCUGUAUUGUAUGUGAUGAAGGACUGAAAUUGUAGGAAUAAAAGUAAAAUAAAAAGAUGGUUUUGGGGAAAGGAAUGGUAAAAGAACGCGUCACACUCACUUUCAAUCCAAGAAGGAAUGCUAAGCUAUGAAGAAUCGCCACAAUGGUAAGGAAGUUAUUGAUAAGAUUCGAUAAACAUGGUUCAAUCCAAAACCAAAAAAGAGACAAAGCUCUCACAACACAUAAAGUGUAUUUUUUAUAUCAAAAUUCUACAUGUCUUUAUCUCAUUGAGAAACUUACAAUUUAUAGAGCUUUUCUCUAAUGAACUCUGUGGUCCCUAAUUAAUUUUUUUUUUUUUGGGUUACAGCUCCCUAAUUAAUUCAAAUAAAGCAUAUAUUUUAAAUCCUAAUUUAGAUGCCAUAUUACUAGCCUUACAAAUAUUUAUUUAAAUAACAAAAAAAAAAAAUGCUGAUUGAAAACACCACCAUUCAUGUGCCAUCAUUAAGUAAAUAAGCAAGUACUGUAUGUAGUGGAUUGCUAUUUUGUACAUGGAGCAAGAAUUGAUAAUUUGAUAUCAACUACCUACAUCGCAAGUUAACAACAACAAGCUGACAUUAAGCACGAUGCCCUUCUUGCAUAUAAUGUUCAAGUUAGCUUAUCGAAGUAAAAGAGUUAUUUCUUCCCAUAAUAGAAUUUGUUUUGCACCAAAUUUUGUAUUUCAUUUGAAUUUCAUCUCUUAUUCAAAUUGUGUUACAAAAAUCUUUCUCAAUAUUAGAAAAAUAUUUUAAAAAAAUAAACAGUGAGGAAAAAAAUCUAUUGUUCACCAUAAGAAAACGAUGACUAAUACCAAAUAUCAAGUAUUGAUGUGAAAAUGUGUAAAAAAUAAAAAUAGCAAUUUUCUUAACGCUUAGGUUUCCACAUACCAUACAGACAUUUAUAACACCUAACAAUGUUGAUUUGACAAAUCUGGAAAUCAAUUUCGGAAGAUGGUUUCUUGGAGCUCAAGCAUCCAUGGCCACCAUCCUACAUGGUCGUUUACUUGUUCGUGGCUUCUCAUGUACCACCUCCACCUAAUGGUAACCGGUCCAUCAAUGAUAUGCACCUUUGCACAAGCCCUCCAAUGCAUGUGACAUAGAACCACAAGAUUUACCAAAGCCUUCUGUCAAGGGUGAUGUUCUAUGCAUCAAUAUAUCACAAGAAUACGAAAAAGGAUAAGAGGAACGAGAGUUCAGUCUUUAUGGGCGUCUAAUUAUGAAUGAAAGUGAUAAGCCUAUAACAUCAUUUGAUUUGUGUUCAUAACUAAUUGUUCUUUGGAAACACAUCAGGAAGUUGAAGCUUAUUCCUUUGCCUCGAGAGUAUUACGGUUUCCAGUUUUCAACUUUUGAGGAUAUGACGAAGAUUUGUUACAUUGGCACUUGGAAUUUGAAGUCGAGUGUUUUUCGUCUAUCGAAAUGGUCACAAGGGAUCAGCACUUUCAAUGAACGACAAUCCCAUGCAUAUGUUUGAAUCCCUAUUCUUGACCUCCCUCAAGAGAAUUGGAGGGUAUAAUGCUAUUGGAAAUAGAUUCAAGCGUGGAAACACCAUAGAAAGGAUUCUUAUUGUUUAUAUCUGUAUGAUUGGUCACCCAUUGGGUCGGUGCAAGAAACUACCGAAGAAUGGUUGUUUAUAUCUGUAUUUUUUUCCCAUUUCGUUAUAUGUAUUAAGGAUUAAUUGCACAUGAAUAGAAGACAAACAGACAAUAAGCUGUGUCGCUAGACUUUUUGGAUUGCAAAAUCAAUUCUCGUAAGAACUUAUUGUGUUUAUAAAAAAUAUAUAUAUAACUCAUAACUAUUCACUACACAAGAAAUGUGUGCUAUAUAAUUUGUUGACCAUUCCACAAGGAAUUAACCUAAAAUUACACUUGAGAAACCUUGCAAAACUACAAUUCAUGCUUCCAACAUUUGCAUAAUUGUAUAAGCAAAACCCACAUAUCAAAUCAAUGUAAUUAAUUUUUAUUGUUUUGAAAACUCUCCUUCCUUUCCAUUAUCGAUAACAGCUUCUCAUUUAAAAUAUCGGAUUCUAAUCUUUGGAUUCUAUCCACCUGCAGAAAACCCAAAUGGAGCUUUUAGUUAAAUAUUUCCUGAAUUGACACAUUGUGAAAAUAAACAAAGUCUUGUAAAAUUAACACACCUGAAAAUGUAAAUUGUAGAAGAUCCUCUCUCCAAAGGUUUGCGACGAAGAAACAUUUAGCAACAAAAUUCCAUCAUUUUCUAAACAUAGCAAAAUCUCAGAAAGUGGAAUCUUGUGGACAGUGUAACAUGAAAUCUGAAUAGCAACUUCACUAUCAUUUAGCCAACUUGUUGAAACUACAAAACCAGAGUUGUAACUAUGUUUCUUCUUUUGAGAUUCUUUCGUUAUAUUAACUUCAUUUACUUGUGGAGAAAGUCUCAAUAAGAUCUCUUCUUUUCUCUUAACUAGUCCUUCCACAUGUUUCUGUAUUUCUGGUAUGUAUUUUAGGACUCUUGAAAUUGUUGCUGGAAUGCUCAACUUUUUCUGCAACAUAUAUGAAUAAAUUAAUACUAAUACAAUAGUUCUAAAAAAAGUUAUGCAACCAAAAUUUAAAGUAAUAUCGAAAAACGGCAUCCCAAUUAGGAAAUUUCAACCAUACUCAAAAAUCAAAACAAAACCGCGUUUUGAAGAUUAAAAGAAAUAUAACGAAAUGAACAAAAGCAUAGUAGACAAUUGGAAACAUAAAGAAGGGAAUAAUGAAGUACCAUUUGGUCAGAAAUAGGAAGAAGUGAACGAAGUGAAGAAUACAAAUUAUUGAUCUUCUUGCGGCGAUCGCGUUCGCUAGCAUUAUGAACAAGCUUCUUGACCAUGCUAAGGUCACUGCUUGUGGAUUGUGAGGGAUCUGUUGAAUUAAUUUCUGCCUCAACUUGAUCAUGAAAAUUAAAUAAUUGAUUCUGAUGCUGGUUAUGACUUAAAGACUCUUCAAAGGGCCAUCCAAUUGUUGAAAACAUAGGAGGAGAUAUCGCUAACAUAAUGAUGAU